CUCUUUUUCUCAGGCUCUGCAUAUUUGGGUAUUGUGACAUAUUGCUAAACUUAACACCUAAGGGAUGGGAGUUUCCUACCUGUGCUCUUCCUACAGGUGGCAUUGUGACACGUCUCUGCAUUCCUCACCUAGGAGAUGUGACUCUCCUACCUGCAUCCUUCCUACAUGGAAAGUUGUGGCAUAUUGCUGUGGCCAGCAACCAGAUGAUGUGUUUCUGCUUCCUGGGUCUUUAUUACAGGAAAGAUGGUUGACAUAUCACUGGGCCCAGCAUCCAGUUUUGGUUUCAGGGGACAUUGUGACAUAUUGCUGGGACCUGCACUGACAAUUUAUUACUCAACUGCCUGCAAUUUGCCCACUUGGGCCAUUGUGACAUAUUGCUG
rnacentral:lncRNA from 1 species